rnacentral:rRNA from 1 species
CGGACGGGUGAGUAACGCGUGGGUAACCGUGCCCUGUACAGGGGGAUAACAGCUGGAAACGGCUGCUAAUACCGCAUAAGCGCACGAGGAGACAUCUCCUUGUGUGAAAAACUCCGGUGGUACAGGAUGGGCCCGCGUCUGAUUAGCUGGUUGGCAGGGUAACGGCCUACCAAGGCAACGAUCAGUAGCCGGUCUGAGAGGAUGAACGGCCACAUUGGAACUGAGACACGGUCCAA